GACGAACGCUGGCGGCGUGCCUAAUACAUGCAAGUCGAACGGUCUUUUCUAUGGAAGCUUGCUUCCACUGAGAAGAUAGUGGCGAACGGGUGAGUAACACGUGGGUAACCUGCCCAUAAGAGGGGGAUAACAUCCGGAAACGGGUGCUAAUACCGCAUAGUUUUCUUGAUCGCAUGAUCGAGAAAGGAAAGACGGCCUUUGUGCUGUCACUUAUGGAUGGACCCGCGGCGUAUUAGUUAGUUGGUGAGGUAACGGCUCACCAAGACGAUGAUACGUAGCCGACCUGAGAGGGUGAUCGGCCACAUUGGGACUGAGACACGGCCCAAACUCCUACGGGAGGCAGCAGUAGGGAAUCUUCCGCAAUGGACGAAAGUCUGACGGAGCAACGCCGCGUGAGUGAAGAAGGUUUUCGGAUCGUAAAACUCUGUUGUCAGAGAAGAACAAGUCGGAGAGUAACUGCUCCGGCCUUGACGGUAUCUGACCAGAAAGCCACGGCUAACUACGUGCCAGCAGCCGCGGUAACAC
rnacentral:rRNA from 1 species